rnacentral:lncRNA from 1 species
UCUGAUUUAAUCUUUAGAAAGUGAGUUUUCUAUUACAAUGUUCCCUUUCAAGACUGUUAUAUGAUAAACCAUCCGCUUAGUUGGUGGCUAUGUUGAUGAUAAGGCCCUUAAUGGUUCAGAUUUCCCGAGGGAGGAGAAGGAGGUGCCGACAGGGGAUGGGAGCAACAAGUAUAAUUCAAAGAGUAUGUUUCGAAUCUGAGUUGCAUUGCACAGUAUUUUUAUUGCUCUAAGAAAUCCAUGGAGUUGUAUAUGGAACAUUCCUUCAUGUGAUAGGCAUAUUUGUUUACUAAAUCAAACUGCGUAGUUCCAACAAACAGACAUUCAAAUGCACCAUUUUACACUCUGAAAGUAGGAAGUUCAACUUCUUUAGUGUUUAGAAUGGAUCAGGUGUACUUCAGAUGUUUUCAGUUUUAAAUAAUUAUGCACAUUCUCACUCAUCAUGUGUGCAAAAAGUGGGUUUAUACAGAUUUAUACAAUUCAUUAUAACAUCCUGGAGCUGAAACUAAUUCGAUUAAUUUGGUCGUUCUCUGAUGUGUGCUCACAUUAAUACCAUUGGCAGCUUUGUAAUUCGCUAAGCUAAAUUCAAUAUUUCUGGUGUUCUGCGACAACUCAAGUCACCUUCAUAAUUUCUGGAAGCCAACUUUUUUUACACCAGGCCAAGGAGAUGGAGUGCAUGAUUCAGUCAGUUACAAAAUUCCAGUAGCCAAAACACUAACCAUUUUCCACAUAGAAAAUCAUUAAUUACCGUUCCCUCUCCAUUUGCCUCUUCAGCUCCUUAGGGUCUACAUCCAUGAUACAUUCUAGUUAGUUUAGCAUCUCACCAGUUAUCUGAAUAAUACAGCCGCAUCCAGUACAAUGGCAUUUUUACCUUGGUACAUGGCAUCUCAUCCCAGUUAUUUGAAUAAUAAAUAAGCAUCCAGUAAAAGGGCACUUUUACCUUGGGCAUGGCCAGGGGUGUGUAUGGUACAUUUUGCUCAUCAUUAAGCAGUGCUGUUGAAGCAUGUUUCUUCUCACGGGCUUCACGACGUCUUUUAAGAAUAUCAUCUUCCUCGCGUGCAUAAUACUCUUUUUUCCUCUGCCUCUUCAAUUCUUCAGGGUCUUUAUAAAUACAUACCGCAAGUUAGCACAUAAGCAACAGCAAAAACAGUAGCGCAAAGUAUAGGAACUGGUUGAUGAUAGUUACCCAAUGAUUGGUUGUUGCUUAUAUCCUGAAAUGGGGUGUGCGCCCCCGCACUAUUGGGAGAUGACAUACCUUCGCCUUCAUGUGAAUAUUCAUGUCAUUAAAUUUUGAGAAGCAUGGAAAUUGUGGAAAUUAAUCAUGAACACCACCAUCAGAUGCAAACAUAGUACACUGUCCUUUCUCUUGAUAUUGUGUUUCAGCAGAGUUCUACUUUGACAUUAAUAACAAUUUUGAAUGGCAGAUCCCCUUAUUGGACCACAUUCAGUUGUCAGCCCUGCUGUUUGACAUCCAUAGUGAUGCUGAUGAUGAUCUUGGCAAGGGUAAUGCUUUGAUUUCAUAGACAUGUUGCUUUGAUAGCUAGAGAAUUAAUUCUCAAGAGGACUUUGUGAUUUAGUGUUCGUAUGAUAUUUUUUAGUUGGGGCUGUUUUUUCAUGGAUUUUCUCUGUCCACUACAUCAUGAAUCUGGUAAUAUAAAAGUAAUAUCUAUUUCUGAUUAUGUAAUGACCGACUGUUAUCUUGCUUCUUACUCAUGUAUCUUCAGAUUUUAUGUAUCUGUCUGGGGUCUUGGUAUGUCCUUGAGCACGCAUGAGGUAUGUAUGUAUCUGUUGGUAUCUUAGUGCACUUUGUUGUUUCAGAGUAGCACUUUAUAAUUUGGCCCAUGCCUAUGAGUGUAUAUGCACGUACACCAUAGGUCCGAGCUGAAACUAAUUAUGAUUAAUUUUCUCGUUCUGUGAUGUGCGCUUACAUUAAUACCAUUGGCACCUUUGUAAAUUCUAUAAGCUAAAUCCAAUAUUUCAGGUGUUCUGCGAGAACUCAAGUCACCUUCUUAAAUUCUGAAAGCCAAGGAGAUAGGGUGCAUGAUUCAGUUAGUUACAAAAUUGCAGCAGCCAAAACACUAACCAUGUUCCACAUAGAAAACCAUUAAUUACAGAUAUAAGACAACGGCUUAUAGCAUUGUGUUGUGCAACUGUUUGUUUUUUAGAACUCUAUUCUGAAAAUUCUAAUCAUGUAUAAUGUUGCAACAGGUCAAACGAAGAAGUUGAACCUAAAGAAGGGCCGGGAAGAAUUACAGCUUCGUGUGGCCGGCUGGUUCAGGGGACGUGCAGGGCGGGCGCGGCACCGGGUGCCGGGGUAGGCUCCUGGGCACUGGCUAUCUCGCGGACGGGCCACACGGCGAGGGCAGGGUCGUGGGCGCCCGCUAUCUCGCUGAUGGAUUACACACUGUGAGCGGCAACAAUCGGCGGUGGCGAUUGUGCAGGGAGCGACUGAGCGGCGCAGGGCUCACGAGGUAUCGGUGCAGGCAGGAGACGGGGUUGGUGGGAGGCAUCGAGGUCAAGGGCGAGGGGAGCUGAUUUAGUUGAGUUUCCGUAUUAGUUUGCGAUCACAAUUGCGUGAUUGCAGGGGACGCGGGCUGGUAGUUGGAAUAUUCCUUCGGUGGUGGAGUAUGGUCAGUCAUGGGAAUUUGCUAAAUGCACACUGUGGAGGCAUUAGAUCAAUAAUGACGGUUGGAUUGAGAUUUAUGGGACUAAUUGUAUGGUGCUGAUUGGUUCGUAUGUUUUGUGGAACUAAUUGCUAGGUGCACAUAAGAAAAUUCUUGUUUGAUUGUUUAAUAGUAGUGGAGAU